UAAGACCUACAAGACUCUAUCUUGCAUUUUAUGAAUGCAAAUCAAAUGUUUUAAUUAAACUAAGGCCUU
rnacentral:tRNA from 1 species